GACGAACGCUGGCGGCGUGCUUAACACAUGCAAGUCGAACGAAGUGGCGAACGGGUGAGUAAUACGUGGGUAACAGGCCCGCCUUUCUGGGAUAAGCCUUGGAUAAGGGGUCUAAUACCGAAUAAAGGGGGUUGGGCUCGCGGCCUGUCAGCUUGUUGGUGGGGUGAUGGCCUACCAAGGCGGUGACGGGUAGCCGGGAUGAGAGGGCAACCGGGCACAGAGAGACUGGGAAACGGCCCAGACUCGUACGGAGGGGAGCAGUGUGGGAUAUUGCACAAUGGGCGAUAGCGUGAUGCAGCGACGGCGCGUGAGGGAUGAAGGCUUUCAGGUUGUAAAAGUCGUUCGCAAGCGAACGGGUAGGUGGAGAAGAAGCGCCGGCUAACUACGUGCCAGCAGCCGCGGUAAUAC
rnacentral:rRNA from 1 species